rnacentral:rRNA from 1 species
GACGAACGCUGGCGGCGUGCCUAAUACAUGCAAGUUGAGCGAUGAAGAUUGGUGCUUGCACCAAUUUGAAGAGCAGCGAACGGGUGAGUAACGCGUGGGGAAUCCGCCUUUGAGCGGGGGACAACAUUUCAGGAAAACAGCUAUGACCGCAUAAUAACUUUACACAUAAGUUUUAAGUUUGAAAGAUGCAAUUGCAUCACUCAAAGAUGAUCCCGCGUUGUAUUAGCUAGUUGGAGAGGUAAAGGCUCACCAAGGCGAUGAUACAUAGCCGACCUGAGAGGGUGAUCGGCCACAUUGGGACUGAGACACGGCCCAAACUCCUACGGGAGGCAACAGUAGGGUAUCUUCGGCAAUGGACGAAAGUCUGACCGAGCAAUCCCGCGUGAGUGAAGAAGGUUUUUGUAUUGUAAAACUCUGUUGGUAGAGAAGAACGUUGGUGAGAGUGGAAAGCUCAUCAAGUGACGGUAACUACCCAGAAAGGGACGGCUAACUACGUGCCAGCACCCGCGGUAAUACGUAGGUCCCGAGCGUUGUCCGGAUUUAUUGGGCGUAAAGCGAGCGCAGGUGGUUUAUUAAGUCUGGUGUAAAAGGCAGUGGCUCAACCAUUGUAUGCAUUGGAAACUGGUAGACUUGAGUGCAGGAGAGGAGAGUGGAAUUCCAUGUGUAGCGGUGAAAUGCGUAGAUAUAUGGAGGAACACCGGUGGCGAAAGCGGCUCUCUGGCCUGUAACUGACAGUGAGGCUUGAAAGUGUGGGGAGCAAACAGG